rnacentral:rRNA from 1 species
AUUGAACGCUGGCGGCAGGCCUAACACAUGCAAGUCGAGCGGAUGAAGGGAGCUUGCUCCUGGAUUCAGCGGCGGACGGGUGAGUAAUGCCUAGGAAUCUGCCUGGUAGUGGGGGAUAACGUCCGGAAACGGGCGCUAAUACCGCAUACGUCCUGAGGGAGAAAGUGGGGGAUCUUCGGACCUCACGCUAUCAGAUGACCCUAGGUCGGAUUAGCUAGUUGGUGGGGUAAAGGCUUACCAAGGCGACGAUCCGUAACUGGUCUGAGAGGAUGAUCAGUCACACUGGAACUGAGACACGGUCCAGACUCCUACGGGAGGCAGCAGUGGGGAAUAUUGGACAAUGGGCGAAAGCCUGAUCCAGCCAUGCCGCGUGUGUGAAGAAGGUCUUCGGAUUGUAAAGCACUUUAAGUUGGGAGGAAGGGCAGUAAGUUAAUCCCUUGCUGUUUUGACGUUACCAACAGAAUAAGCACCGGCUAACUUCGUG